rnacentral:ncRNA from 1 species
GCUAGCCUCGGUGGGGAACCCGACGAGACGCGCCGUACCGGGACGAAGGCAAAGACGACGCACC